GGGCGCACGGUGGAUGCCUUGACACUAGGAGUCGAUGAAGGACGGGACUAACGCCGAUAUGCUUCGGGGAGCUGUAAGUAAGCUUUGAUCCGAAGAUUUCCGAAUGGGGAAACCCACCAUACGUAAUGGUAUGGUAUCCUUAUCUGAAUACAUAGGGUAAGGAAGACAGACCCAGGGAACUGAAACAUCUAAGUACCUGGAGGAAGAGAAAGCAAAUGCGAUUUCCUGAGUAGCGGCGAGCGAAACGGAACAUAGCCCAAACCAAGAGGCUUGCCUCUUGGGGUUGUAGGACAUUCUAUACGGAGUUACAAAGGAACGAGGUAGACGAAGCGACCUGGAAAGGUCCGUCGUAGAGGGUAACAACCCCGUAGUCGAAACUUCGUUCUCUCUUGAAUGUAUCCUGAGUACGGCGGAACACGUGAAAUUCCGUCGGAAUCUGGGAGGACCAUCUCCCAAGGCUAAAUACUCCCUAGUGAUCGAUAGUGAACCAGUACCGUGAGGGAAAGGUGAAAAGCACCCCGGAAGGGGAGUGAAAGAGAUCCUGAAACCGUGUGCCUACAAAUAGUCAGAGCCCGUUAAUGGGUGAUGGCGUGCCUUUUGUAGAAUGAACCGGCGAGUUACGAUCCCGUGCGAGGUUAAGCUGAAGAGGCGGAGCCGCAGCGAAAGCGAGUCUGAAUAGGGCGUUUAGUACGUGGUCGUAGACCCGAAACCAGGUGAUCUACCCAUGUCCAGGGUGAAGUUCAGGUAACACUGAAUGGAGGCCCGAACCCACGCACGUUGAAAAGUGCGGGGAUGAGGUGUGGGUAGCGGAGAAAUUCCAAUCGAACCUGGAGAUAGCUGGUUCUCCCCGAAAUAGCUUUAGGGCUAGCCUUAAGUGUAAGAGUCUUGGAGGUAGAGCACUGAUUGGACUAGGGGUCCUCAUCGGAUUACCGAAUUCAGUCAAACUCCGAAUGCCAAUGACUUAUCCUUAGGAGUCAGACUGCGAGUGAUAAGAUCCGUAGUCAAAAGGGAAACAGCCCAGACCGCCAGCUAAGGUCCCAAAGUGUGUAUUAAGUGGAAAAGGAUGUGGAGUUGCUUAGACAACUAGGAUGUUGGCUUAGAAGCAGCCACCAUUUAAAGAGUGCGUAAUAGCUCACUAGUCGAGUGACUCUGCGCCGAAAAUGUACCGGGGCUAAAUACACCACCGAAGCUGCGGAUUGAUACCAAUGGUAUCAGUGGUAGGGGAGCGUUCUAAGGACAGUGAAGUCAGACCGGAAGGACUGGUGGAGUGCUUAGAAGUGAGAAUGCCGGUAUGAGUAGCGAAAGACGGGUGAGAAUCCCGUCCACCGAAUGCCUAAGGUUUCCUGAGGAAGGCUCGUCCGCUCAGGGUUAGUCAGGACCUAAGCCGAGGCCGACAGGCGUAGGCGAUGGACAACAGGUUGAUAUUCCUGUACCACCUCUUUAUCGUUUGAGCAAUGGAGGGACGCAGAAGGAUAGAAGAAGCGUGCGAUUGGUUGUGCACGUCCAAGCAGUUAGGCUGAUAAGUAGGCAAAUCCGCUUAUCGUGAAGGCUGAGCUGUGAUGGGGAAGCUCCUUAUGGAGCGAAGUCUUUGAUUCCCCGCUGCCAAGAAAAGCUUCUAGCGAGAUAAAAGGUGCCUGUACCGCAAACCGACACAGGUAGGCGAGGAGAGAAUCCUAAGGUGUGCGAGAGAACUCUGGUUAAGGAACUCGGCAAAAUGACCCCGUAACUUCGGGAGAAGGGGUGCUUUCUUAACGGAAAGCCGCAGUGAAUAGGCCCAAGCGACUGUUUAGCAAAAACACAGCUCUCUGCGAAGCCGUAAGGCGAAGUAUAGGGGGUGACACCUGCCCGGUGCUGGAAGGUUAAGGAGAGGGGUUAGCGUAAGCGAAGCUCUGAACUGAAGCCCCAGUAAACGGCGGCCGUAACUAUAACGGUCCUAAGGUAGCGAAAUUCCUUGUCGGGUAAGUUCCGACCCGCACGAAAGGUGUAACGAUUUGGGCACUGUCUCAACCAGAGACUCGGUGAAAUUAUAGUACCUGUGAAGAUGCAGGUUACCCGCGACAGGACGGAAAGACCCCGUGGAGCUUUACUGUAGCCUGAUAUUGAAUUUUGGUACAGUUUGUACAGGAUAGGCGGGAGCCUUUGAAACCGGAGCGCUAGCUUCGGUGGAGGCGCUGGUGGGAUACCGCCCUGACUGUAUUGAAAUUCUAACCUACGGGUCUUAUCGACCCGGGAGACAGUGUCAGGUGGGCAGUUUGACUGGGGCGGUCGCCUCCUAAAGUGUAACGGAGGCGCCCAAAGGUUCCCUCAGAAUGGUUGGAAAUCAUUCGUAGAGUGCAAAGGCAUAAGGGAGCUUGACUGCGAGACCUACAAGUCGAGCAGGGACGAAAGUCGGGCUUAGUGAUCCGGUGGUUCCGCAUGGAAGGGCCAUCGCUCAACGGAUAAAAGCUACCCCGGGGAUAACAGGCUUAUCUCCCCCAAGAGUCCACAUCGACGGGGAGGUUUGGCACCUCGAUGUCGGCUCAUCGCAUCCUGGGGCUGUAGUCGGUCCCAAGGGUUGGGCUGUUCGCCCAUUAAAGCGGUACGCGAGCUGGGUUCAGAACGUCGUGAGACAGUUCGGUCCCUAUCCGUCGUGGGCGUAGGAAAUUUGAGAGGAGCUGUCCUUAGUACGAGAGGACCGGGAUGGACGCACCGCUGGUGUACCAGUUGUUCUGCCAAGGGCAUAGCUGGGUAGCUAUGUGCGGAAGGGAUAAGUGCUGAAAGCAUCUAAGCAUGAAGCCCCCCUCAAGAUGAGAUUUCCCAUAGCGUAAGCUAGUAAGAUCCCUGAAAGAUGAUCAGGUUGAUAGGUUCGAGGUGGAAGCAUGGUGACAUGUGGAGCUGACGAAUACUAAUAGAUCGAGGACUUAACCAUAUA
rnacentral:rRNA from 1 species